rnacentral:rRNA from 1 species
GACGAAGGGGGCUAGCGUUGUUCGGAAUUACUGGGCGUAAAGCGCGUGUAGGCGGUUGUCCAAGUCGGGGGUGAAAGCCUUGAGCUCAACUCAAGAAAUGCACUCGAUACUGGGUGACUUGAGGACCGGAGAGGAUAGUGGAAUUCCCAGUGUAGUGGUGAAAUACGUAGAGAUUGGGAAGAACACCAGUGGCGAAGGCGGCUAUCUGGACGGUUUCUGACGCUAAGACGCGAAAGCGUGGGGAGCAAACAGG